ensembl:lncRNA
AUGCAGCUUGCAGCAGAGCAGCUUAUUAAAAGGCUUCACCUUGAAAGUAAACACCAACUCCUGAGAGCUGUUGAUUUCCUUCAGUCAGCUGUACAGUCCCAGUUCCCAGAGUCGUGUGCAGAGGACGAGAUGCCACAGAUUUUUCUACAAAAAUUGCUGAUGAUGGACUACAGAGCAAGAGGCCUCCAGGUUAAAGAGAACAAUGAACAACAUCACGCACACCAAACAGACAGUGACUCAUUUAAGGGUGUUGGUAAUGCCUAUGAUGAUCUUUUUGAAGAAACUGCAAAACCUGCUGAUGAAACGAACAAAUCAGAUCCUGUCCAUAGGGCUGCACGAUUAAUCGCAUGCAUUUGUCAUGCGUGUCUCAUCAGUAAAGCCGGUUCCGUGAUUAGCGGUAAAUGUCUGUCACCUGUUUUCAAACGGGAGCGGCAGUUAAUACACAGAGCCGUAGUUCACUGACAAGAUACGCAAUAUUCUGUUCAUAAUUGAGAUUAAUCGCAUUCGAUUAUGAACACGAUAUUGCGUAGCUUGUCAGUGAACUAUGGCUCUGUGUAUGAACUCCCGGUGCAUUUGAAAACAGGUGACGGAUAUUUACCGCUAAUCACGGAACCAGCUUUACUGAU